GUCUGUUUGUGGCUUCUUUCUUCUGUGGAGCUCAAAGCACUUUCUCCUCUUAUCUUAUCUCUCUCCCCGCCUUCCCAGGGAAGUGGUCUUGUCACUCCCACUUCUCAGGGGCUGUGCGCUGUGACUCAUUGUGGCUCUGGAGUGUACUCCGUUGUCCCCCGGCCUGGGUGGGACCCACCUCCCUCCCUUCUCCCUGAGCUCAGCCUGAAGAACCCUCACUUCCUGGGUGCCCAGGAAGGCCUGGCCACGAAGGGCACUCUGAGCAGCAGGUGACUGGAGCCAAGCUGGGUUUCCACACCUGCUGUCCUGCAGAGGGGCUGAAGCAGUGACUCCACCAGCCCUUUCUGUGGCCACAAAGGGGGAUGAGGUCAGUGGAGUCACCGACACCAGCUGGAACUGAGAACCAAGAAGGGCAGGGGCUCCAGGAAUUGUGAAGAAAACUUUCCAGAAAGCACUUGGCGGAGAAACUGAGUCCCAGAGCAGGAAUGCGAAUGAACCCUCCAAUAUGACACCAGCGACUGACUGACCCUGGGGAAACCCUGGGCUGCCUGCCAUGUGGCCACACAUCUGCAUCUCUGGCUAUCUUCUUGUUUGGUGCUCAGGGCACAGCACUGGGCACAGGACUGCUCAGCUUUGACUGAGAAUAGCCAUUAAUAAUGUGUUAAAUGUCUACAGAGUACUGGCGGUGUCACACUGAAUCCUCCUAACAACUCUAGAUACACAUACUAUCUCAUUUUUAUGUGAGGACUCGGAGUCUCAAGAAGACCAGGAAACCUUUCCUGAGGUCUCUGGGCCCUGUAGCAGAGUUGAAUAGGGGUCCCCACAUUCUUAGCCCUCUGGCUGUGCUGUGGGCCUGUUACAAAAGCUGGGUGGGAGUUCUGGAAGCCAGACUUCCGGGUGGCCAGCCAAUGUUCACUUGGGUGAAGAGGGGUUUAGGAAAGGGUUCAGGUUCUUGAGUAUCCCAUGAGCCUCUGGACAGAGUGGGGACCUGACCUGAUUCUCCUGCCUGGGCUGCCCAUUCCUCACCCUCUCAGACAUUCCUCCAUGUAGACAAAAUGGGGUUACUUGGAGAGGAGGGCUAGGGCACGGUCAGGGCUCUCCUGCAGGCCCCGGCACUCUGCCGUGGCCCACCGCAGGGGUUUCUCCACCCCGGGCUAAAUGCACCACGAUGGCUCUUCCUUGCUGAGGCUUCCUUCCUUCUCCCUUUCUUUGUUGACAGUCUGAGUGCUCCCUGAGCCCGGGGCCCCUUGUGCCAUUUAUCUCCAAAUCCCUGUAACCUGGGAUGGGGUUAAUUCUAGCUGGGCACCCAGAGAAUGAAUGCACCCCAAAGGGGCCAUUUCUUUUUCCUGGCAUCAGACUGCUGGGAUUUGUGGCUUGGCUUCACACCUAUUGCGUGCGUGACGUGGACAAAUUAUUUGACUGCUGUGGCUCUCAGUUCUGCACCUAAAGCAGAGACAGGACUCAUGCUUGUUUCAUUUUCUAUUAUUAGAAUUCAUAUGUUACCCACUGAGUCCUGUACUGUGUCUGACAUGGCAGCCCCUAGUCACACGUAGCUACUU